rnacentral:rRNA from 1 species
AUGCAAGUCGAGCGGGGGAAGGUAGCUUGCUACCGGACCUAGCGGCGGACGGGUGAGUAAUGCUUAGGAAUCUGCCUAUUAGUGGGGGACAACAUCUCGAAAGGGAUGCUAAUACCGCAUACGUCCUACGGGAGAAAGCAGGGGAUCUUCGGACCUUGCGCUAAUAGAUGAGCCUAAGUCGGAUUAGCUAGUUGGUGGGGUAAAGGCCUACCAAGGCGACGAUCUGUAGCGGGUCUGAGAGGAUGAUCCGCCACACUGGGACUGAGACACGGCCCAGACUCCUACGGGAGGCAGCAGUGGGGAAUAUUGGACAAUGGGGGGAACCCUGAUCCAGCCAUGCCGCGUGUGUGAAGAGGGCCUUAUGGUUGUAAAGCACUUUAAGCGAGGAGGAGGCUACUUUAGUUAAUACCUAGAGAUAGUGGACGUUACUCGCAGAAUAAGCACCGGCUAACUCUGUGCCAGCAGCCGCGGUAAUACAGAGGGUGCGAGCGUUAAUCGGAUUUACUGGGCGUAAAGCGUGCGUAGGCGGCUUAUUAAGUCGGAUGUGAAAUCCCC